AGACAGACAGACAGACAGACAGACAGACAGACAGACAGACAGACAGACAGGAAUCAGAGUGAGUCUCAAAGUGAAAGCUGCCCGAGAGGGCAACAGGACUGUUAGGGAUGGUGGUGCAUAUGGAGAGAAACAAAUGGAAGGUGAGAACGAGAUGGCGAGAACAAGUGAUGGCGGUAGAGAUGGAGAGAAACAGAUGGAAGAUGGUGGAGAUGGAGAGAAUGAGGGAUGGAGGUGGAGAUGGAGAGAAACAGAUGGAAGAUGGUGGAGAUGGAGAGAAUGAGGGAUGGAGGUGGAGAUGGAGAGAAUGAGGGAUGGAGGUGGAGAUUGAGAGAAUGAGGGAUGGAGGUGGAGAGAACGAGGGAUGGAGGUGGAGAUGGAGAGAAUGAGGGAUGGAGGUGGAAAUGGAGAGAAACAGCUGGAAGGCGGUGGAGAUGGAGAGAACGAGGGAUGGAGAUGGAGAGAACGAGGGAUGGAGGUGGAGAUGGAGAGAAACAGAUGGAAGGCGGUGGAGAUGGAGAGAAACAGAUGGAUGAGGGGGAGAUGGGGGUGUAGAUGGAGAGAAUGAGGGAUGGAGGUGGAGAGAACGAGGCAUGGAGGUGGAGAUGGAGAGAAUGAGGGAUGGAAGUGGAGAUGGAGAGAAUGAGGGAUGGAGGUGGAGAUGGAGAGAAUGAGGGAUGAAUGUGAAGAUGAAGUGAACGAGGGAUGGAGGUGGAGAUGGAGAGAAUGAGGGAUGGAGGUGGAGAUGGAGAGAACGAGGGAUGGAGGUGGAGAUGGAGAGACCGAGGGAUGGAGGUGGAGAUGGA
ensembl:lncRNA